UGGAAGUAAAAGUGGUAACAAGGUUUCCGUAGGUUAAGUUCAGCCUACCACAGCAGCUCUCCAGCUGCUAGUGACCUCGCGGUCGCUACACGCCCAAUGUGCGGAAAAGCCCUGUCAAGGGAAACCCGCAGCCCCUACCCGGGGUUCAGAGACUCAAUAGGCGUGGGUCUGGCUGCCGCAGCCAGGCUUGAGAUAGAGCCCGUCCUCGCUGGGCCAACGGCGAGGAGCAAACGGAACCUGCGGAAGGAUCAUUA
rnacentral:rRNA from 1 species